GGGCCACCCGGGGGCCUCCUUAGUUGGCGGGCCGGUGCGGCUGCACCGCCGGCCGCCGGGUACAUGGGGGCUGCUGAAAUCGCGGGGCCCACGGGGCAGCUGCUCUGGGGCCCCCCAGGAGCAACUGGGCCUGGGGCAGCUGCCCUGUUUGCCCCGCGCUAAAGACGGCCCUGUUGAUCCUAGUAAUGACAUCUCCUUUGUACAAACAUCUCAAUAAAAAUGUGAAUGUCAAAAAUAUAUAUAUAUAUAUAAAAAAACAGUAGGGUUUAUGUAUAAAGAAUAAAU